UUCAAGCCUAAAGAUCAAGCAAGUGCCAUCAUCUUACAAGAACUGGAUGCCGUUCUGGAGUCAUGACUUCCCAAAAUGAAACUUUUCUAACAAAAUACUAUUUUCUUCAAUUUGCACAUCUUUAGAAUCUGGAUCUCGCUUGGCUGGGUUAAGUGUGGCAGCGAGAACCCGCUGGAAUUGUGAAGCAGGAAGCCGGUGGGGCCCAUCUCUCGGAGGAGGUAGAUCCUGCCGGUCAGCGCCUGGUCCUGCUGCCCACUGAGGUGGUUGUUCAAGUGUCUUCGCUUUUCAGAGACUUUACAGCCCCGGCGAUGCAUCUUGCUUGUGAGCCCGUGAAGGCAGCGCUCCUCUAAGACCCUCUCUGAGUGCCCGCGGUCUCCAUGACAAUGGCGUGCCGGCCGGUUGCCUUGGUGAUGGAGGUUGAGAUUCCUGGUGUCCCAGCGUGCCUUGCGCCAACCUCUAGCUGGAGACCAAAGUGCAAGGGGAGCAGCUCUGAGCUGCCUCCACUACUUCCUGAAGCCACGUUCCUGUUUGAAAUGUGUUUCUAAUACCCACCUGCCCAGCUUAAAAGCUGACGGCCAAAGGCAUAGCUGUCAAAUCUCCCGCUUUCCUUUUGCUGGUUCCCCGCAGGCAGGGCUGGUGAUUAUGUGUGUUAGGACAGUCGCACAACCUGGUUACUGUUUGGGUUCUGCUAAAAUUAUCCUGUGAUGAUUCAUAAUCUUUAUCAGAAGGCCCAGAGUGACUGUUUUUGUUCAACAAUAUUCCACCAACAUUUCCGGAGUGCUAUGUGCAUAAUCUGAGCGAGUCGCUGGGGGAAGAGACAGGAAUCUAAGUCCUAGGGAGCUAAAUCCUUAAAUUGGGAUGUAUGCAGGGCGCGGGUGUGGUUUUAAAGCAAGAGGAGCAUUUCUAAAUAGAAUAUUUAGAUAGGGAUGGAGUGGGCGGGUGGUGCUAAAUCCAUUGACUCUGUCUUCUAAAUCUACAGGGUCUAAGGAGUAAGGUUUUUGAGGUAUGCAAUGUCCACUCAGUCAUUUACAUUGUCUAUGAACUGUUAAUCACGUUCUAGCGGGAGAGCUGUAAUAAAGUUGAGUCAAGUAAA